CACACUAUCAUUAACUGAAUCCAUAGGUUAAUGAGGCGAACCGGGGGAACUGAAACAUCUAAGUACCCCGAGGAAAAGAAAUCAACCGAGAUUCCCCCAGUAGCGGCGAGCGAACGGGGAGGAGCCCAGAGCCUGAAUCAGUGUGUGUGUUAGUGGAAGCGUCUGGAAAGGCGCGCGAUACAGGGUGACAGCCCCGUACACAAAAAUGCACAUAUUGUGAGCUCGAUGAGUAGGGCGGGACACGUGGUAUCCUGUCUGAAUAUGGGGGGACCAUCCUCCAAGGCUAAAUACUCCUGACUGACCGAUAGUGAACCAGUACCGUGAGGGAAAGGCGAAAAGAAC
rnacentral:rRNA from 2 species